GACGUAGGGCGCGAGCGUUGUCCGGAUUUAUUGGGCGUAAAGAGCUCGUAGGCGGCUUGUCGCGUCGACCGUGAAAACUUGGGGCUCAACCCCAAGCCUGCGGUCGAUACGGGCAGGCUAGAGUUCGGUAGGGGAGACUGGAAUUCUGGUGUAGCGGUGAAAUGCGCAGAUAUCAGGAGGAACACCGUAGUGGAAGGCGGGUCUCUGGGCCGAUACUGACGCUGAGGAGCGAAAGCGUGGGGGAGCGAACAGG
rnacentral:rRNA from 1 species